rnacentral:rRNA from 1 species
UACGAAGGUGGCAAGCGUUACUCGGAAUUACUAGGCGUAAAGGGCAGGUAGGUGGUCUGGUUAGUCUGUUGUGAAAGCUCCUUGCUUAACGGGGAGAGGUCAACAGAUACUGCCAGACUUGAGUAUGGGAGAGGGUACUGGAAUUCCCGGUGUAGCGGUGAAAUGCGCAGAGAUCGGGAGGAACACCAAUGGCGAAAGCAGGUACCUGGACCAUUACUGACACUCAGCUGCGAAAGCUAGGGGAGCAAACAGG